ensembl:ncRNA H06I04.10 ncRNA
UUUCUCGUUGUCUGGGAGGGUGGCUCGGAGCAAUUCAAGACGACUCGACGCGGGGAAAACCGAAAAACAAGGGACAACAUUUUUUCUUCCAGAUUUUUGAGAUUAUAACUGAAAAAACAAGGGUUUUCGGCACAUUUUUUCUGAAAAAUUCCCAAAUUCUAGCUUGAAUUUUGAAUUUUUUAGUGAAUUUUAAACAUUUGCCGUGAAAAACCAUUCGGAAAUCUU